UAUCCGUAGGUGAACCUGCGGAAGGAUCAUUAAUGAGUUGUCAUGGGGUUCGAUGCUGGCAGCCAGUUUUUGGAUGCAUGUGCUUGCCCUAACAAUCAUCUUCUUCCAAACACCUGUGCACAUUUUUGAGGGAGUCUUGAGUUUGUUGCCGCUCUUGGGUGAUUUUCUCACAUUCCCUUAAAUCAUUAUACGCUAUUAACAAUGUUGCACGUGCUCUGUGCCGCAAGGCCAUUAAUAUAAUACAACUUUUAACAACGGAUCUCUUGGCUCUC
rnacentral:misc_RNA from 1 species